CCUACGGGAGGCAGCAGUGGGGAAUAUUGCACAAUGGGGGAAACCCUGAUGCAGCGACGCCGCGUGAGUGAAGAAGUAUUUCGGUAUGUAAAGCUCUAUCAGCAGGGAAGAAAAUGACGGUACCUGAGUAAGAAGCCCCGGCUAACUACGUGCCAGCAGCCGCGGUAAUACGUAGGGGGCAAGCGUUAUCCGGAUUUACUGGGUGUAAAGGGAGCGUAGACGGCAGCACAAGUCUGGAGUGAAGUGCCGGGGCUUAACCCCGGAACUGCUUUGGAAACUGUGCAGCUAGAGUGCAGGAGAGGUAAGUGGAAGUCCUAGUGUAGCGGUGAAAUGCGUAGAUAUUAGGAGGAACACCAGUGGCGAAGGCGGCUUACUGGACUGUAACUGACGUUGAGGCUCGAAAGCGUGGGGAGCAAACAGGAUUAGAUACCCCUGUAGUC
rnacentral:rRNA from 1 species